GGGAUAACUCCGGGAAACCGGAGCUAAUACCGGAUAACAUUUUGAACCGCAUGGUUCAAANUUGAAAGACGGCUUUUAGCUGUCACUUACAGAUGGACCCGCGGCGCAUUANCUAGUUGGUGAGGUAACGGCUCACCAAGGCAACGAUGCGUAGCCNACCUGAGAGGGUGAUCGGCCACACUGGGACUGANACACGGCCCANACUCCUACGGGAGGCAGCAGUAGGGAAUCUUCCGCAAUGGACGAAAGUCUGACGGAGCAACGCCGCGUGAACGAUGAAGGCCUUCGGGUCGUAAAGUUCUGUUGUUAGGGAAGAACAAGUACCAAAGUAACUGCUGGUACCUUGACGGUACCUAACCAGAAAGCCACGGCUAACUACGUGCCAGCAGCCGCGGUAAUACGUAGGUGGCAAGCGUUGUCCGGAAUUAUUGGGCGUAAAGCGCNCGCAGGCGGUUUCUUAAGUCUGAUGUGAAAGCCCACGGCUCAACCGUGGAGGGUCAUUGGAAACUGGGGAACUUGAGUGCAGAAGAGGAGAGUGGAAUUCCACGUGUAGCGGUGAAAUGCGUAGAGAUGUGGAGGAACACCAGUGGCGAAGGCGACUCUCUGGUCUGUAACUGACGCUGAGGCGCGAAAGCGUGGGGAGCGAACAGGAUUAGAUACCCUGGUAGUCCACGCCGUAAACGAUGAGUGCUAAGUGUUAGAGGGUUUCCGCCCUUUAGUGCUGCAGCAAACGCAUUAAGCACUCCGCCUGGGGAGUACGGUCGCAAGACUGAAACUCAAAGGAAUUGACGGGGGCCCGCACAAGCGGUGGAGCAUGUGGUUUAAUUCGAAGCAACGCGAAGAACCUUACCAGGUCUUGACAUCCUUCGCUACUUCUAGAGAUAGAAGGUUCCCCUUCGGGGGACGAAGUGACAGGUGGUGCAUGGUUGUCGUCAGCUCGUGUCGUGAGAUGUUGGGUUAAGUCCCGCAACGAGCGCAACCCUUGAUCUUAGUUGCCAGCAUUCAGUUGGGCACUCUAAGGUGACUGCCGGUGACAAACCGGAGGAAGGUGGGGAUGACGUCAAAUCAUCAUGCCCCUUAUGACCUGGGCUACACACGUGCUACAAUGGAUGGUACAAAGGGCUGCAAGACCGCGAGGUCAAGCCAAUCCCAUAAAACCAUUCUCAGUUCGGAUUGC
rnacentral:rRNA from 1 species